CGUAGGGUGCGAGCGUUAAUCGGAAUUACUGGGCGUAAAGCGUGCGCAGGCGGUAAGUUAAGUCUGAUGUGAAAGCCCCGGGCUCAACCUGGGAAUGGCAUUGGAAACUGGCUUGCUGGAGUGUGGCAGAGGGGGUGGAAUUCCGCGUGUAGCAGUGAAAUGCGUAGAGAUGCGGAGGAACACCGAUGGCGAAGGCAGCCCCCUGGGCCAACACUGACGCUCAGGCACGAAAGCGCGGGGAGCAAACAGGAUUAGAUACCCUGGUAGUCCACGCCCUAAACGAUGUCAACUGGGUGUUGGGGAAGCGAUUCCUUGGUACCGUAGCUAACGCGUGAAGUUGACCGCCUGGGGAGUACGGCCGCAAGGUUA
rnacentral:rRNA from 1 species